ACCCGUUGAUCCUGCGGGAGAUCGCUGCUAUCUGGGUUCGACUAAGCCAUGCAAGUCAGGGGGAGCAAUCCACCGGCGUCAUGCUCAGUAACACGUCGAUAAUCUGCCCUUAAGUUCGGGAUAACCUCGGGAAACUGAGGCUAACACCGGAUAGGAAAACAAUUCUGGAACGAGUGUUUUCUUAAAGGCAACGCUUAAGGAUGGGACGGCGGCGGAUUAGGCUGUUGGUGAGGUAACGGCUCACCAAACCGAAGAUCCGUACGGGCUCUGAGAGGAGUAGCCCGGAGAGGGGCACUGAAAUACUGGCCCCAGCCCUACGGGGUGCAGCAGGCGCGAAAACUUUACAAUACACGCAAGUGUGAUAAGGGAACCCAGAGUGCUAUACUAACGUAUGGCUUUUGCCAAGGGCAAAUACCUUGGAGAAUAAGUGGUGGGCAAGACUGGUGCCAGCCGCCGCGGUAACACCAGCUCCACAAGUGGGGAUCAUAAUUAUUUGGCCUAAAGCGUCCGUAGCUGGUCAUGUAAAUCUUUUGUGAAAUUGUUCGGCUCAACCGAUCAGCGUGCAGGAGAGACUGCUUGACUAGGGACCGGGAUGGCUAGAGGUAUGCCGUGGGGAGCGGUAAAAUGCUAUAAUCCACGGUAGACCACCUGUGGCGAAGGCGUCUAGCUAGAACGGGUCCGACAGUGAGGGACGAAAGCCAGGGGAGCAAACCGGAUAAGAUACCCGAGUAGUCCUGGCCGUAAACUCUGCGAGCUAGGUGUUGCAUAUUCUCUGUGAAUAUGCAGUGUCGAAGAGAAGUCGUUAAGCUCGCCGCCUGGGAAGUAUGGUCGCAAGACUGAAACUUAAAGGAAUUGGCGGGGGAGCACUACAAGGGGUGCGGCGUGCGGUUUAAUUCGACUCCACUCGGAGAAUCUCACCAGAGGCGACGGCAGGAUGAAGGUCAGUCUGAAGGGCUUACCUGACGAGCCGAGAGGUACUGCAUGGCCGUCGUCAGCUCGUGCCGUAAGGUGUCCCGUUAAGUCAGGCAACGAGCAAGACCUGUAUCUACAAUUGCUAACGACUCAUCUUGAGAAUCGAGCACAUUGUAGGGACUGCCUUGGAAACAAGGAGGAAGGUGCAGGCAACGGUAGGUCUGUAUGCUCCGAAUCUUCUGGGCUACACGCGCGCAACAAUGGUAUAGACAAUGGGCUGCAACUCCGAAAGGAGAAGCUAAACCUCGAAACUAUAUCCUAGUCCAGAUUGAGGGCUGUAACUCGCCCUCAUGACGUUGGAAUCCCUAGUAAUCGAACGUCACCAGCGUUCGGUGAAUAUGUCCCUGCUCCUUGCACACACCGCCCGUCAAACCACCCGGGUAGGGUCUAGAUGAGGCUUCAUUUUGAAUGAUGUCGAAUCUAAGCUUUGCGAGGAGGGUUAAGUCGUCACAAGGUA
rnacentral:rRNA from 1 species